ensembl:lncRNA
GCUUUAUAUGGAGCUACUUUUUCCUCCUCUUAAAGCCAUAUUUUUCAAAAAGUUGCAAAAAUAUAAUGGGGCUACAUGGAUCUGAACUGGGUCAAGUCAGGAUUUACAUCCGAGCUUCUAUCUCUAACAGUGCUAACAGUGGAUGAAGACUUUGGCAGAUUUUAUCUCCAGAGUUUGAAAUCUUCUGUAAAAUUUCUAAGUUGGACUGCAGUUUUGUUAAGAUGUGACCUGGCUAUAACUCACAGCUGUUUCUAUGAAGGGAAAUAAUACAGCUGGAAUUUCAUCUUCAGCUGCUCUAGGAAUAAAUCAAAUCCGGGGCCCCUUUAUCUGCACAGCCUCAUGAAUGCUGUUACUGACACAGAACAAAUUGCCUUGCCGCUUCACUGGACAUGCAGUGGGCAGAAGUGGGAACCUGAUACACUACUGGACAGCCCAUGACUGAAAUCUCUUGAUGACUGAAGGAGGUGUACCCUUUCAUCAUCAUUCCUGCUGGCCCCUUGAAUUACUGAAGAGGCACCUGAGAGUCAUCACCCCCCUCCCUGGAAAGGAAUUUUAAUGUGGAUCGGGAGGCUCCAGUGUCACUAGAAGAUGUACUUCCUUCUGAUCCAGACCCAC